GAUUGGCCUCGUGCGAACACCACUAUGCUCUCAUCUUGUAAAGAGAAACUCAUCUUUCUACAAAAUUUCCAAUGCUCCCAAAUUCAGGCCGUGGCUGGCUUAUUAGGAACACUAACACACACCUCAUUACCUUACCAACUGCUACCACCGCCGAAGUUUCGACCUCUCCCACCCGAAAACCUGUUGUUUCUUCUGUCAGAAAAUCCUCCACGGCCACCUCCUCUUCCUCCCGAAAACCUACCACCACCGUUUCUGCGAUCGCCAAAUCCACCACGACCACCGCCCCCAAAUCUUCCACCUCUUGAUUGCUCUCUGUCUUGUAAUUUUGGGAGUGAUUUCAAGACCUCUAUACUCACAUUGGCUGCAUUUUCCUGACCAGUAAGAAACGCAUCCAAAUCCUCAGUUUGAACAUCGAAUACAGCGCUGUAUCCAUCAGCCGUCAGUGUCAUACCCUUCACUGAUUCAACCUUCUCCUCAGGCAA
rnacentral:misc_RNA from 1 species